AAUUCUCAACCUCUCUAGUUUUCUGAACUAGUAGAUGGCUUGGAUGUGGGGGUAUGUGCAGGCUUUCACAAGUCAGCUCCCCUGAAAUGCAUUAGCCGGUACUAUCUGACCGUCUAUUGGUGUGAUAAUUAUCUACGCCGUGGACUGAAGAAUUUGUGCUGCUUACAACCGUCCUGCAUGGGACAAUCAAUGACA
rnacentral:misc_RNA from 1 species